rnacentral:tRNA from 1 species
UCCCUGGUGGUCAGUGGUUAAGACUCUGCACUCCCAGUGCAGGGGGCACAGGUUUGAUCCCUGGUCAGGGGA